UACAGGGGGGGCAAGCGUUGUUCGGAAUUACUGGGCGUAAAGGGCUCGUAGGUGGCCAACUAAGUCGGACGUGAAAUCCCUCAGCUUAACUGGGGAACUGCAUCCGAUACUGGAUGGCUUGAGUUUGGGAGAGGGAUGCGGAAUUCCAGGUGUAGCGGUGAAAUGCGUAGAUAUCUGGAGGAACACCGGUGGCGAAGGCGGCAUCCUGGGCCAACACUGACACUGAGGAGCGAAAGCCAGGGGAGCAAACAGG
rnacentral:rRNA from 1 species